AAUCGAAGCUCAGUUGGCAGAGCAUUGGGCUAGUAUUCCAAAGGUCGUAGGUUCGAUUCCUACCGUGACUA
rnacentral:tRNA from 1 species